UUUUAUUAAAAGUUUUUAUUUAAACCAAUUGUUCAGGAAAGAGUUGGACAAAGAAAUUGCUCCUAUCCUCAGCUCCGCAAAACUUAAGCCAGGAGCAGAGAAACUGAUUUCUCAUUUGGCGGAUAAUGGGAUUCCUCUCGCUAUUGCUUCCUCUAGUAGAAGGCGAAAUGCAAAACUCAAGAGACUGCUGCAUAGAGAUAUGACGCACUAAGACUCCACUAUUCAUAGGAAAGGUGGUUUUUACAGGGGUGUAUAUUCCUUCACGACCCCUUCACUUCUUAGCUCUCACCCUGCCCCCCUCCUUCUUGGUGAUAUGUUAGGGGAUAUUUUUCUAUCUAAUAUUGGAAUAACAAAAUAUACCACAUUAUAUUGGCAUUUUUCUUGCUGACUUUUGUCUUCAUUCAAUGUUAAAAAAGGUCGACUUUUAAAGACUAAAAAAAUGCGAUGCACUGCGGGGUUAAAAAUAGUAACGUAAAAGUCAUUUAUUUUCAUCUUUUUGCAGCUUUUUUAUGUGAAAUUCAAUGAAUAUACAUCCCUGAAAAGUGUAGACUAAGAUAAUCUUAUAUUUUUAAACAAUUCUUUUUAAAAAGAA